CACAAAUUCAUGAAUGUUUCCUUCGCAUGAAAAUAUAAUUGCUCAAUUCUCAAUGUGGUAUUUGCAAACAGCAAUUGCUCAGCCCAGACACAUAUUCACACAGACCCUUGGGCCCCGGGAAUUACACGAUAACUUGAUAAUCAUAUCACAUUUGUAUGAUUUGUAUUAAUGUCGUUUAUGACUUUAUUGAACAUAUGCACAUUACAUUAAUUACAAUAACCUUGGAAAAAUCCAAGUACUGCAAAUAAACUGCUUCAGUAUAAAAACGCCAGAAAUUAAGAAGGCGAAGAGGCAGCUGAAGUAAAAAGUUAAUAACGAUCGUGCAAGAUAUUAAGAGCUUUUAAAAUUGCUCCUCGAUAACUCCUGUAUAAGAUAUACUGUCCUUGAGGGUUGCAGUGAACCCCAUCAAGAGACAACAAAUCAAUUCUACCAUUGUCAAAUUUACGAUGGUCCCAAAGAAAUACGCCAGGUUCAUUCGCCAAAACGACAGACAAAUACUGCCGCAGAAUAGAAGCUUUUGCAUUAAAAGCAUGGUCCGGUGCGUCGGAAUGCGGAAUGUGCCUAUUUAUAACUUGGCACACAGCAAUGACCUUUAUGUUUAACUCGUCAAGCAUAUAGCGUACGAGAUCGUCUAUCCGCGAACCGACCACCUCCGGAGAAAGGUUUGCCAAAUCGUUCGUCCCUAUUUCCAAAAUGACGAUAUCCGGUUUGCAGCUUUUGAGAAAGGAAAUAUCAUACUUAAACACUUUGUCUACAGUUCGACCGCCCGUGCCCUUCAAAGAUACGUACACGCCUGAAUUGGCCAGGUUAAAAUUUUGUUUGGCACGGGAAUCAAAACCAUUAUUUAAAUCGUCGUUUAAGCGGCGCACAAAAGAAUGGCCAAAUACCAAACAUUAGGAAUGAAACCCGACAUAUUUCUUGAGGAUAAAUAAGAUAAAAGGAAACACACAAUACCUGAAAGAACUUUGGAAGAAAGUAUGCAAGUGUUGCUCCUGACUGACUUCGGUAGAAUAACCUAACCUUGACACUCGCGCCUUUUAUACGCAGCAUCAGAGUAAAAUUCCCAAAUGUAGCAACUUCUCCCCGUGAUAUUUGGUUGUAUGCGUUACGUCAUCAUUUCAUUAGCUACAGUAAAUCUAACUAUAUAUAUAUAUUAGGGAAAGCAAUAAAAUUACUAUUCGAUGAACAAAUAGUUCCUAUAU